GCACGAAAGUUAGCCGGUGCUUAUUCUUUGGGUACCGUCAGAACAACCGGGUAUUAGCCGACUGCUUUUCUUUCCCAACAAAAGGGCUUUACAACCCGAAGGCCUUCUUCACCCACGCGGUAUGGCUGGAUCAGGCUUGCGCCCAUUGUCCAAUAUUCCCCA
rnacentral:rRNA from 1 species